rnacentral:rRNA from 1 species
UACGGAGGAUCCAAGCGUUAUCCGGAAUCAUUGGGCGUAAAGAGCUCGUAGGCGGCCUGUUGCGUCCGCUGUGAAAGCCCGGGGCUUAACCCCGGGUCGGCAGUGGAUACGGGCAGGCUAGAGGUAGGUAGGGGAGAAUGGAAUUCCCGGUGUAGCGGUGAAAUGCGCAGAUAUCGGGAGGAACACCGGUGGCGAAGGCGGUUCUCUGGGCCUUACCUGACGCUGAGGAGCGAAAGCGUGGGGAGCGAACAGG